AGACCCGAAACCCGGUGAUCUAGCCAUGGGCAGGUUGAAGGUUGGGUAACACUAACUGGAGGACCGAACCGACUAAUGUUGAAAAAUUAGCGGAUGACUUGUGGCUGGGGGUGAAAGGCCAAUCAAACCGGGAGAUAGCUGGUUCUCCCCGAAAGCUAUUUAGGUAGCGCCUCGUGAAUUCAUCUCCGGGGGUAGAGCACUGUUUCGGCAAGGGGGUCAUCCCGACUUACCAACCCGAUGCAAACUGCGAAUACCGGAGAAUGUUAUCACGGGAGACACACGGCGGGUGCUAACGUCCGUCGUGAAGAGGGAAACAACCCAGACCGCCAGCUAAGGUCCCAAAGUCAUGGUUAAGUGGGAAACGAUGUGGGAAGGCCCAGACAGCCAGGAUGUUGGCUUAGAAGCAGCCAUCAUUUAAAGAAAGCGUAAUAGCUCACUGGUCGAGUCGGCCUGCGCGGAAGAUGUAACGGGGCUAAACCAUGCACCGAAGCUGCGGCAGCGACACUGUGUGUUGUUGGGUAGGGGAGCGUUCUGUAAGCCUGUGAAGGUGUGCUGUGAGGCAUGCUGGAGGUAUCAGAAGUGCGAAUGCUGACAUAAGUAACGAUAAAGCGGGUGAAAAGCCCGCUCGCCGGAAGACCAAGGGUUCCUGUCCAACGUUAAUCGGGGCAGGGUGAGUCGACCCCUAAGGCGAGGCCGAAAGGCGUAGUCGAUGGGAAACAGGUUAAUAUUCCUGUACUUGGUGUUACUGCGAAGGGGGGACGGAGAAGGCUAUGUUGGCCGGGCGACGGUUGUCCCGGUUUAAGCGUGUAGGCUGGUUUUCCAGGCAAAUCCGGAAAAUCAAGGCUGAGGCGUGAUGACGAGGCACUACGGUGCUGAAGCAACAAAUGCCCUGCUUCCAGGAAAAGCCUCUAAGCAUCAGGUAACAUCAAAUCGUACCCCAAACCGACACAGGUGGUCAGGUAGAGAAUACCAAGGCGCUUGAGAGAACUCGGGUGAAGGAACUAGGCAAAAUGGUGCCGUAACUUCGGGAGAAGGCACGCUGAUAUGUAGGUGAAGUCCCUCGCGGAUGGAGCUGAAAUCAGUCGAAGAUACCAGCUGGCUGCAACUGUUUAUUAAAAACACAGCACUGUGCAAACACGAAAGUGGACGUAUACGGUGUGACGCCUGCCCGGUGCCGGAAGGUUAAUUGAUGGGGUCAGCGCAAGCGAAGCUCUUGAUCGAAGCCCCGGUAAACGGCGGCCGUAACUAUAACGGUCCUAAGGUAGCGAAAUUCCUUGUCGGGUAAGUUCCGACCUGCACGAAUGGCGUAAUGAUGGCCAGGCUGUCUCCACCCGAGACUCAGUGAAAUUGAACUCGCUGUGAAGAUGCAGUGUACCCGCGGCAAGACGGAAAGACCCCGUGAACCUUUACUAUAGCUUGACACUGAACAUUGAGCCUUGAUGUGUAGGAUAGGUGGGAGGCUUUGAAGUGUGGACGCCAGUCUGCAUGGAGCCGACCUUGAAAUACCACCCUUUAAUGUUUGAUGUUCUAACGUGGACCCGUGAUCCGGGUUGCGGACAGUGUCUGGUGGGUAGUUUGACUGGGGCGGUCUCCUCCUAAAGAGUAACGGAGGAGCACGAAGGUUGGCUAAUCCUGGUCGGACAUCAGGAGGUUAGUGCAAUGGCAUAAGCCAGCUUGACUGCGAGCGUGACGGCGCGAGCAGGUGCGAAAGCAGG
rnacentral:rRNA from 1 species